rnacentral:lncRNA from 1 species
GACUUCAAAAAAAUGAUUUUCAUCCGAAAUUGAAGCUUUUUGUUGCUGCUCUACUGCUUGAACCUGCUGAUUUUUGCUUCUUCUAGCAUAAAUCUAUCUGAUUCAGCCUUUAUUUGGCUAUCUGAAGCUUGUUUUUUUCGAGUUUAAUAGAAAAGACCCAUGGUUCUGUUCCUUCUUCUCUAAUUGACUGAAUUUACUGUUUGAUCACAAGAGAGACCGUUCAGAAUUCGUCAAUUUACUAUCGGAGGUUUACGGUGUGUUUAUUUUGAUCCACGUCCUGUUUUGAUGUUCGCUUCUGGAUGAUUUCUGCUCGAACUUGUUGCAUGUCGGCUCGAGUUUGCUGUUUAACGAGAUGUGUUGUUUCCCUUUUCUUAAUUUCUGCCGCUAUCGUUUCCAUGACAACUCUUGCCAAAUUUUGAAUGUUUUAAGUUUGAGAUCAUGUUCUCGUUGUUUACUGAUUUCUUAUUAGCUUGGCUCUUUUGUUUGGAUGCUACUAUUCCAGUUUUUUUUAGUUUCUCUGUUGUAAUUCAUGCUUCAAUCCUUCGGAUUUGAACAAGUAUAAUUUGCUUUGGAUCUCCGGAUUGGAGACUGGCUUUCGAGAAGGUCCUCAAUGGGACAGUUUUGGACUCUUUGUUCAGUACACAUGGACUUUUGGGGGGUUCUUUAUUUUCGCUAAUUGAAUGUGGUAUUGU